AGGAUUAACGCUGGCGGAGUGCCUAACACAUGCAAGUCGAGCGGCAGCGGGAGUAGUUUACUACUUGCCGGCGAGCGGCGGACGGCUGAGUAACGCGUGGGAACGUGCCCCAAAGUGAGGAAUAACUGCCCGAAAGGGUAGCUAAUGCCGCAUAUGAUCUUCGGAUUAAAGGAUUUAUCCGCUUUGGGAGCGGCCCGCGUCAGAUUAGGUAGUUGGUGAGGUAAAGGCUCACCAAGCCGACGAUCUGUAGCUGGUCUGAGAGGAUGACCAGCCAGACUGGAACUGAGACACGGUCCAGACUCCUACGGGAGGCAGCAGUGAGGAAUCUUCCACAAUGGACGAAAGUCUGAUGGAGCAACUCCGCGUGCAGGAUGGAAGGUCCUUAAGGGUCGUAAACUGCUUUUUAUGAGUGAAGAAUAUGAACGGUAACUCAAUAGAAAGUAAGGGUCGACUAACGUAACGUGACCCAGCCACGGCCGAC
rnacentral:rRNA from 1 species